GGAGGCAUGGCUCAGCUGGUAGAGCAUUCGCUUCACAUGCGAGGGGUCACAGGUUCGAGUCCUGUUGUCUCCACCA
rnacentral:tRNA from 3 species